AUGGGGAGACAGAUACCGGGAUAUGGGGUGUCCGGGAUAUGAGGUGACAGAUACAGGGAUAUGAGGGGCAGGGAUAUGGAGAGACAGAUACUGGGAUAUGGGGUGGCAGGGAUAUGGGGAGACAGAUACCGGGAUAUGGGGUGUCCGGGAUAUGAGGUGACAGAUACAGGGAUAUGAGGGGCAGGGAUAUGGAGAGACAGAUACUGGG